rnacentral:rRNA from 1 species
UGGGGAAUAUUGCACAAUGGGCGCAAGCCUGAUGCAGCCAUGCCGCGUGUAUGAAGAAGGCCUUCGGGUUGUAAAGUACUUUCAGCGAGGAGGCAGGCGUUGUGGUUAAUAACCGCAACGAUUGCCGUUACUCGCAGAAGAAGCACCGGCUAACCCCGUGCCAGCAGCCGCGGUAAUACGGAGGGUGCAAGCAUUAAUCGGAAUUACUGGGCGUAAAGCGCACGCAGGCGGUCUGUCAAGUCGGAUGUGAAAUCCCCGGGCUCAACCUGGGAACUGCAUCCGAAACUGGCAGGCUAGAGUCUUGUAGAGGGGGGUAGAAUUCCAGGUGUAGCGGUGAAAUGCGUAGAGAUCUGGAGGAAUACCGGUGGCGAAGGCGGCCCCCUGGACAAAGACUGACGCUCAGGUGCGAAAGCGUGGGGAGCAAACA